rnacentral:misc_RNA from 1 species
ACGAGUUAGGGUUCUAAACAGGCCCGACCUCCCAAUCCUGUGUCUAAAUUACCUUUUUGUUGCUUCGGCGGACCCGUCAUGGUAAAACAUGACCGCCGGAGGGUUGAUUUCGAUCACUCUCUGGUCAGUUGUCCGUCGAUGGCCCCAAAAUUUAAAUUCUUGAUGAAACAUGUCGUCUAAAUCAAAAACAAAAAUUAAACA